AUUGAACGCUGGCGGCAGGCCUAACACAUGCAAGUCGAGCGGAUGAAGGGAGCUUGCUCCUGGAUUCAGCGGCGGACGGGUGAGUAAUGCCUAGGAAACUGCCUGGUAGUGAGGGAUAACGUCCGGAAACGGGCGCUAAUACCGCAUACGUCCUGAGGGAGAAAGUGGGGGAUCUUCGGACCUCACGCUAUCAGAUGAGCCUAGGUCGGAUUAGCUAGUUGGUGGGGUAAAGGCCUACCAAGGCGACGAUCCGUAACUGGUCUGAGAGGAUGAUCAGUCACACUGGAACUAGGACACGGUCCAGACUCCUACGGGAGGCAACAGUGGGGAAUAUUGGACAAUGGGCGAAAGCCUGAUCCAGCCAUGCCGCGUGUGUGAAGAAGGUCUUCGGAUUGUAAAGCACUUUAAGUUGGGAGGAAGGGCAGUAAGUUAAUACCUUGCUGUUUUGACGUUACCAACAGAAUAAGCACCGGCUAACUUCGUG
rnacentral:rRNA from 1 species